AUGAGCUGCUCUUAAAGAUUGGAGAUCUCCACAUAAUCUUGGAUCCAUGGCCAAAAACACUUACAUCAUGUAACUGCUUUCUCUGGGAAUCUUGGAACAUCUCUGUUUAUCAGCUUUACAAGAAGCUCCGUCUUUACAUCAGAGUCUAAACUCUCCCUACAUUUCACAGUAAGUCCUCUCUAUGCUAAAUCCAGUCCAAGUUUUAGCUGAUUGAGAAAUCAAGCAAACAUUUAACUUCUUUCAUAGGGUUGGACUGGUGGCUAUUAAAAGAAAGCAGUUUGUUGUUAGUUAAACAGCUUACAAAGAACUGCUAUUAGACCAUUGAAUUAUCAAGUUGCAAAUUAAUAUGACAAAUCAAAAUCUGAGGCGGUCUCUGUAGUGGUCACUGUAUAUGCAGUACCUUGACCACGAGGGAAAAGAUGAAAGUCUCUGAAAGUCAUUUGAACAUGUCUUGGCUGUCUUAGUGUCUUUUUCCUUCUGCAGUGUCUUCCAGUCUGUCACUUGGUGAUGAGGAUAUGAUGGGGCAUCGGAGUUUUGACUCGGGAUGCAGUUAUCUUCCGCUCUGCCUCUCAUGGCAGAUGUCUGCAAUGUUUUCAGUCUUUCUCCAUUCCAGCCCCUCCCAGAAGUGUCAGAUUCCUCUUACAGGGGGUGUAGCCGAUCGCUCCUCAGCUUUUCCUGUUCUUCACAGCCAUAAUGCCUCUUUCUUCAUGUUGUAUCGCCCUUUGGCAGCUGCCCAAGAUGUCGUCUUGUUGCUUCUAUAAAAUGAACACUCAAGAGAACCGCAUUAUAAACUUUGACCACAAUUGCAUAUAAGCAAUCUCUGGUAUGGUCAGUCAUCUUGUGCAACUGUCCAAAAUUUAAGGAAUCUCAUCCAGUUAACAGUAUAUAUAUAUAGCAGUUCUUUGGUUUAUUUUAAUAAGCAAGUUCUUCUUUGCUGGAAAAGUGCAAGCAAUUCCUUCUUUGCAGAAUGCAGAAAAGAGCAGUAACCUAUUCUAUCUGAUAUGAGCAUUUAUGAGCAUUAUACUUCUAUAAUUCUUAUGUACACAUCAGCAUGAUGCAU
ensembl:lncRNA